rnacentral:rRNA from 1 species
CCGUACCGCAAACCGACACAGGUAGUCAAGAUGAGAAUUCUAAGGUGAGCGAGCGAACUCUCGUUAAGGAACUCGGCAAAAUGACCCCGUAACUUCGGGAGAAGGGGUGCUCUUUAGGGUUCACGCCCAGAAGAGCCGCAGUGAAUAGGCCCAAGCGACUGUUUAUCAAAAACACAGGUCUCUGCUAAACCGUAAGGUGAUGUAUAGGGGCUGACGCCUGCCCGGUGCUGGAAGGUUAAGAGG